GCCUUUAUAGCUCAAUGGUAGAGCGAAAUACUGUUAAUAUUUUGAUGAGUGUUCAAUUCACUUUAAAGGCUUUA
rnacentral:tRNA from 1 species